UAGGGAAUCUUCCACAAUGGACGCAAGUCUGAUGGAGCAACGCCGCGUGAGUGAAGAAGGUUUUCGGAUCGUAAAGCUCUGUUGUUGGUGAAGAAGGAUAGAGGCAGUAACUGGUCUUUAUUUGACGGUAAUCAACCAGAAAGUCACGGCUAACUACGUGCCAGCAGCCGCGGUAAUACGUAGGUGGCAAGCGUUGUCCGGAUUUAUUGGGCGUAAAGCGAGCGCAGGCGGAAUGAUAAGUCUGAUGUGAAAGCCCACGGCUCAACCGUGGAACUGCAUCGGAAACUGUCAUUCUUGAGUGCAGAAGAGGAGAGUGGAACUCCAUGUGUAGCGGUGGAAUGCGUAGAUAUAUGGAAGAACACCAGUGGCGAAGGCGGCUCUCUGGUCUGCAACUGACGCUGAGGCUCGAAAGCAUGGGUAGCGAACAGGAUUAGAUACCCUGGUAGUCCAUGCCGUAAACGAUGAGCGCUAGGUGUUGGGGACUUUCCGGUCCUCAGUGCCGCAGCAAACGCAUUAAGCGCUCCGCCUGGGGAGUACGACCGCAAGGUUGAAAC
rnacentral:rRNA from 1 species